GACGAACGCUGGCGGCGUGCUUUACACAUGCAAGUCGAACGGUGAAGGUGGAGCUUGCUCCGCCGGAUCAGUGGCGAACGGGUGAGUAACACGUGGGCAGCCUGCCCCUAACUUUGGGAUAACCACUCGAAAGAGUAGCUAAUACCGGAUAUGAAGUCUGUAGGCAUCUAUGGAUUUGGAAAGUUUUUCGGUUAGGGAUGGGCCCGCGGCCUAUCAGCUUGUUGGUGAGGUAGUGGCUCACCAAGGCGACGACGGGUAGCCGGCCUGAGAGGGCGACCGGCCACACUGGGACUGAGACACGGCCCAGACUCCUACGGGAGGCAGCAGUGGGGAAUAUUGCGCAAUGGGCGAAAGCCUGACGCAGCAACGCCGCGUGCGGGAUGAAGGCCUUCGGGUUGUAAACCGCUUUCAGCAGGGAAGAAGCGAAAGUGACGGUACCUGCAGAAGAAGGACCGGCCAACUACGUGCCAGCCGCCGCCGUAA
rnacentral:rRNA from 1 species